rnacentral:tRNA from 1 species
UGGAUCACCUCCUAACAGGGAGACAACAAAAUGUUUAAUAUUAUUAUUUUGUCACCUUAGGUCGAUCGGUAUCUCACGUUCUUAAUUUAUUAAGAAUUUCAUUUCCUAAGUUUUUCUAGGUCACACCCAUUAUUUUCCUGGGCCAUUAGCUCAGGUGGUUAGAGCGCACCCCUGAUAAGGGUGAGGUCCCUGGUUCAAGUCCAGGAUGGCCCAUAUCUCUAUGUUGGGGGUAUAGCUCAGUUGGUAGAGCGCCUGCUUUGCAAGCAGGAUGUCAGCGGUUCGAGUCCGCUUACCUCCACUGAUUACCACCUCUUCCAUAACUUGUAGAAGGGAAAAUUUUUGAGUUGUGAUCAUUAUUCUGAACGAAUCUAGCUUCCUAAUAAAACUAUUAAGAUGCUGGACUCAUUGAAUUAAUUUCAUUGUUUUCAGAGAACCUUGACAACUGCAUAGAUUAUUUUUAAAGACAAUAAGCAUCUUUAAUGAUGCAGAUUUAUUAUUUGUGCAAAUGCAUUAAUAACAAUUCUAUUGAGCUGAUGCUUCAAUUUUGAAGUUAUUGGUCAAGCUACAAAGGGCUCACGGAGGAUACCUAGGCACACAGAGGCGAUGAAGG